AGGUCAGUGGAUGUGUCACAGGGGAACAUCUUACGAAAUUUGCACAUUUUCCAGUAACGACUAACCUGUUGAGAUCAAUUUCAACUAUUAGGAUCAGAAUUUGGGGAACUGGCAGGUGAAGCUCCAGAUUGGAUCUUCUGCUCCCAUCGUAUUCAAGUUUGCCGCAGAAUUCAUCCUGAAGGCCCACGAGAGUGUCACGAUCUGGGCGGCUGACGCUGGCCGAAACCACAAUCCUCCCUCUGAUCUAGUCUGGGAGACACAGUCCAACUGGGGACCCGUAGGCCAGGUCCACUUUACCUUGAUCAACGCCAACGGAGAGGAAAUAAGGAUGAGCAAAGCCACUGGCGCACGUUUGGAAGAUGAUGAUGGAAAUUCCACUUCCACCGUGGGAUAGAGGAAAUGGAAUUUCGGUUUCUUGUGUGUCUUGACAUAUGAAGGGAUUGACAAUAAAGCAGACUUUGACUUUUGA